rnacentral:rRNA from 1 species
GAUGAACGCUAGCGGGAGGCCUAACACAUGCAAGCCGAGCGGUAUUGUUUCUUCGGAAAUGAGAGAGCGGCGUACGGGUGCGUAACACGUGUGCAACCUGCCUUUAUCUGGGGGAUAGCCUUUCGAAAGGAAGAUUAAUACUCCAUAAUUUAUUGAACGGCAUCGUUUAAUAUUGAAAGCUCCGGCGGAUAGAGAUGGGCACGCGCAAGAUUAGCUAGUUGGUGAGGUAACGGCUCACCAAGGCGAUGAUCUUUAGGGGGCCUGAGAGGGUGAUCCCCCACACUGGUACUGAGACACGGACCAGACUCCUACGGGAGGCAGCAGUGAGGAAUAUUGGUCAAUGGGUGCAAGCCUGAACCAGCCAUCCCGCGUGAAGGACGACUGCCCUAUGGGUUGUAAACUUCUUUUGUAUAGGGAUAAACCUACCCUCGAGAGGGUAGCUGAAGGUACUAUACGAAUAAGCACCGGCUAACUCCGUG